GACGGCCAUACCAUUUUGAAAACACCGGUUCUCGUCCGAUCAAUGACGUUAAGCAUCAUCGGGCGCGGUCAGUACUUGGGCGGGUAACCACCUGGGAUAACCGCAUGCCGUU